rnacentral:lncRNA from 1 species
UUUUUGAGUGUCGCUGAAAUCACUGAUUGUGUUACAGCAAAGAUGAUUGCCAAGGUAGAGUUAUCAGUUGAAUUGAAUGUUUGAGUGCCUUUUCCAAUUUUUUCAAGUCUGAUUAUUUUCUGUUUUCAAAUUUUAUUAGGUAUGACUCUUUUAUCGUUACGAUUACUCAAUUUUAAAUACCUUUUGUUCUAUUUGUUGGUCGCAACGUAUGAUGCUCACUAAGAAAGUCACUGUAACAAUGAUCAAAAUUUAUAGGAAAAGAAUUUCAUAAACAGUGACAAUAGAAGUUUGAACAUUUUUAAAGAGAAGGUUAAAUCUCUUGACUCUUUAAUCUGGGGAAAAAGUGAAAAUCUGGGAAUUACGUACAGCUGAGUAAAUAAAAUUGUAAGCAGCAUUUUGAACUUACGAAGGCAAAGGAAUUGAGUCUUGUAGUUUGAUGCAAAUUUUACAAUUUAUAAAUGAUCAACAUUGCAUGAUACAAGUUCUGCUGGAAAUCAUUAUCCUUUUUUUUGCAUUUUAUUAUUUUUUUUUCAAAAAACGUUUGUUAUUUUCAGUAAAAAAUAAUAGUUAACAGGCUGUACUCAUGAAUAGUAUUCUAUGCUUCGAAUCAAGAGGAAAUUUAUUCUAAAGACCAGAAAUAGGCAGUUUCCAAUCAUUCAAAAUCAUCAAAAUAUAAUUUCAUAAUUUUUGUCUCUUAUCUACUUUCAUAGAAAUAGUUUUCUGCUUUGCUAAGGGAGAACGCUGUAUGAGCCUUCAGACGUUGCCAAAUUUCCUUUGAAAAAAAAAUCAGGGAAACCCGAAUAUUUUUAAUGCAAUAUUCCAAAGAAUUUUAAUUGCAAUCAGAUUUAAAUUAUCUGAAUAUUUUCAAGAGAAAAUAUUUAUAUUUCUCCGUUAAAAUGAACAUUUUUACUGGAGAAAAUUUGGCAAUUUUUGAAUGUUUAUACAGCGUUUUCUCUUAGGAGGAUAGUUUUGGCCUAUGAUUAAUUACUUUGAGUGUUCCCAUUGUGUAAAAUUGUACAUAUCUAUAUUUAGAUUGAAUUUUUCAAAUUCACUCUUACCUGUGUAUACUUUUCAACAUCAAAUUUAAUUACUAAUGUAGGUGGGUAUCUACGUGUUUAAUCCCAAUACGUAGAUGCCUUGCUGUGUAUUAUAGUAUUUUUAAAAUGUUUAUUUUGAUUAAAAUAAAGAAAGAAGUCAGAGCUUGUGAAAUGGCAAAAAACUAAAGCAUACCUGUUUGUUUCAUUUUAUAUUGUGCCUUUUUGUUUGGCCAGUUUAUUUGAAGUUUUAUCCAUGUUUGAAUCAAAUGUUUUACAUAAAUAUUAAAAAGUGAGAAAAAAAAUGUGAACAAAUUCCAAAUUAAUUUGUUUUUUGCAGCCAAAAUGGCUUCAUUAAGUUAUAAACUAUAUUUUGAAAACUUAAACGUAUUUCCUUCUUUAUUUCUCCUUAAGUCACCUCACAGUAAAUAAUACAUCAUCAAAACUACCACCAUGAUGGGUAUUUAUCAUGAUGCAGUUUUUGCAAGAAAAACCGAAACACUUACACUCACACUAUUCCAGAGUAGUUGAUAUAUACAGUUUUACAAAAUU